rnacentral:rRNA from 1 species
GACGAACGCUGGCGGCGUGCUUAACACAUGCAAGUCGAACGGAAAGGCCCUGCUUUUGUGGGGUGCUCGAGUGGCGAACGGGUGAGUAGCACGUGAGUAACCUGCCCUUGACUUUGGGAUAACUUCAGGAAACUGGGGCUAAUACCGGAUAGGAGCUCCUGCUGCAUGGUGGGGGUUGGAAAGUUUCGGCGGUUGGGGAUGGACUCGCGGCUUAUCAGCUUGUUGGUGGGGUAGUGGCUUACCAAGGCUUUGACGGGUAGCCGGCCUGAGAGGGUGUCCGGCCACAUUGGGACUGAGAUACGGCCCAGACUCCUACGGGAGGCAGCAGUGGGGAAUAUUGCACAAUGGGCGGAAGCCUGAUGCAGCAACGCCGCGUGCGGGAUGACGGCCUUCGGGUUGUAAACCGCUUUCGCCUGUGACGAAGCGUGAGUGACGGUAAUGGGUAAAGAAGCACCGGCUAACUACGUG